GACCUCCCGCCCUCCCACAAGCCCGCCCCUCCCCCUCCCAAAAAGAAGACCAGCGACCUGAAGAGUCACCUGACCUCUGAGGACAUCCAGGUCGUUCACCUGGACAAGGACGAAGAAAUCCAGAAGCUUCCUCUUCAGCCACCGUACUACGACAUGGCCCCCUCCGACUCCACCCCCUACUCAGACAAGCUGGGCUCCGGUGACGUCCAGUACGCGGAGUUGGACACCGCGGCGCUGGCCUCCUCCCCGAGCUCCCGGACCUCCAUUCCCACCGGCGGGGACCUUGUUGAGUAUGCAACCAUCCAGUCUAGCUCACACUAGCGCAUGCCACUGUAGGCCUUUCCCCUGAGACAAGAACUCUGGGAAGCGUCGCGAAGAGCUCUCAAGCGCCGCCGGCCGUGUGAACCACCGCCCCGCCCCGCCCCGCCCCGCCCCGCCCGCGGCGAGGGCCGCUUUCUGGAGCCGCCACCCCCCCUCUGGCCCCCCCGCCACGCCACUCCAAUAUUUACCCCGGCACGCCCUACACGGAGCACCCCUGCGACGGCUACCGCCCUCUCCCUGCCCCCAGUACACGUUCCCUAAAAAAACAGUGCGUCUCAUACCCUCAAACACGCUCCCUUCAUGGAGGUGUACAGUUAGAUGAAAUGAGAUUUAUGGAGAUCCCUCUAGCCCUCCUCCCUCUCUCUCUCUCUUUCUCUCUCUCUGUCACUCUCGCUCUCUAUCUCUCUCUCUCUCUCGCUCCCCCUCCUUCUCUCUCUUUCUCUCUCUCUCCCCCCUCCUUCUCUCUCUCUCUUUCUCUUUCUCUCUACCUCUCCCCCUCCCUCUCUCUCCCUCUCCCUCCCCCUCCCUCUCUCUCUAUUUCUCUCUCUCUCUCCACUCUUUACCCCCCCCACCCCUGCCCUUCACCGUGUCGUGUUGAUGGUGGACCUUGGUUGGUGGAAGUGUCAGUAGUUCUGUACUGUCUGUGGGCCCUCUGUGGAUAAUAACGCACUGCACGUGUUUGUGAUUAUUAGCGCCCCCUAGAGGCACAGAUUCCCCCCCGGCACCGUCGUCCCAACCUCCACUUACCGUACUUGAUCCAACUUCACCUUCACCUGUAACAACUGAACGUUUGCCUUGUCUUUGUAUUUUUUUUCUCUUCUUCUUUUUCUGCUUUAUUUUGUAUUCUCACGAUUGUUGUAUUUUUUAUUUUUUUUUGCCAAGUGUUUUGUACGACCACACCCUGAGUGUUCACAACGUAGCUCCAAAACCUUCCGCAGUGCUUGUGUUCUCUUUUUUACCACCGAUUUGUGUUUUGUAUGUUUGUUUGUUUGUUCUUCUUGUCUUUUCUGUUGUUAUACCUGUAGAGUAUUUUUUUUCUCCACUUGCUCAUUCGCUCGUGAGCAUAUGCGUGAUUGAAAGUGUGCUUGUGUAAUUACGUGUGACAUCCUUUUUUAUUUAUUCAUUUUUGUUGUUGUUGUAGAUGUUGUUGGUAGUUUGAUUGAAAAAAAAAGGAGCAGUUCCUACGACAGUAUCUCCAGUCUUAAAUCAAAAGGGCCGUUGUGGGCACAGGCUUUAGUUACAGUCCAGCGCUAAGUGGCCAGCUUGAGCUAAUCACUUACACAUGGUCUUCAGUCAACUUGACGAGUACAAUCAGGUCAUCAGAAGCACCAGCACUUCUGGGAUAAGACCGGGGAGCCCCUGCCGUGCGAUACUGACUCCAUGCCAGAACUGGGAGCGCUUGGCAGAGUCCCCAUCUCCACCGGCUUCUCUGAAUCAAAACAUUAAACCUGUAAUACAGUAAGAACAUUCUCAAUCAUUGCAAGAAAAUGCUGUUUUCUGAAUAGCUGUUAAAUUAAAAAAAAAAAAAACAUGAAACAAAAUCAUAAAACGAACACCAAAAGGGCUCCAGUUCCAACAGGUACAUUAGUUUUCCAGUACUUGAUAUCAUGCUUGGAUAUUUGUGUAGUUAAAAAAAAAACAAUUUAUUGUUGGAUGGAAUCUGUGAUUCUUGUUGGAUUGGUAAAGUGAUAUGACAGCUGGCACAGUUCUUUCUUGGCUCCAGGUCAUUGGCUGGGCUUCCUGGAGUCUCCUCCAAUCAGAAACUGCUUUAGUUUCCUAUUAAUUUCCCUGAUAAAAGGCAAAUUCGCCUUAGGUUAGUCUCUCUGAGCCUGACAUGGUAGAUGUAUUUUGUAUUUUCUCUAGUGGUGGAGUAUUCUAUGUUUUUGCAAGCACCCGUGUCACAUAUUAAAGCGUAGGUGUCUUUGAAUGCAGUGUCCAGUUUCAGGGUUUCCAAAGUGGUAUCACUCCACUCAGUGACCAGCACAAUCAUAUCCAUGCUAAAUUUAUGCCCAUCACCACCAUCAGUGUUCAGGAAGCUCAUUAGUCAGGAAAGUUCAGUUCUGUUUUCUUUUAACUGCCAGGCUGGUGUGGAAAAAAAAACAUUUCAUUUCAUUCAUAAUUUCAGCUGAGCAUAUUUUUUUAGGGACAUUCAGUAGAGGUCUUGAGUUCAACUUGAACGGAGAACCAGUUGAUGGGGUCACUGCCAAUUAUGAAACAAGUAAAAAUAAAAAAAGAAAUUUGCAAAUUAUGCGUCAAAAGGAAGAUUAACAUUGUUGUUGCCAUGUGGCGAUGAAUAUGUACAGGUAUGUACUGAAAAUGGAAGUAUUUGUGUUUGUGAUUAAUGUGAAAGACUCAUUGUUUGAAAUAUGAUGAACUAUGAUGAAGGUUGAAAAUUUAAGUCUUACAAAUUUGAACCUAGAAUAGGAAAAUAAUUGUGAGGAAUUAUUAUUAUUUUUAUUUUAUUGUGCUCACGUUGUUGUCUUGCACUGGUUUGUGUGUUCUAGCAUUUCAGUAGGUGUGCCCGGUUGUUUCUGGUUCACAAUCCUGAAGAAAAGAAAGUAUAUUCUGUCUAUUACAGUACCUGCUUGAAUAAAUCACCCGGACACAACUGUGUCACUCGUUUACAAUUCAUCUUUAUUUUAAAAUUAUUAUUAUUAUUAUUAUUAUUAUUAUUAUUACUACUACUAUUUUUAUGCUGUAAAACUACUUUGCUUCCCACUGCGAUAAGAUAUUCAGUGUUAUGUUUAGUUUCCAAACAUGACAGUAUUUUUAAAAAUCAAUUCCAUUAUUCUGAAUGUUGUUUUUACUUGUGAUUUCCCAUUUUCUGCCAUGUGUGUAUACUUGCCAUUUUACACUUUUUAUUUGAUAUGUGUGUGACCAUAGCAUUUGUCAUAUGUGUGCUUUCAAACACAUACAGUGUAUACAUAGUGUAUGUAUCUGUGAUUUUAAGGGGUCAUUUGCAGAGGGGAAUAUCCUUUACUCGUUGUGGAAAUGCAAAGUUCUGAGUAUGCCCAUUUGUUGGUCACUUACGUUUCUGCAGAUGAAAGGAUUAAGAACACCGUCUUUCGUACGUGAGUUAGUGUGAGCCACACAUGUACACAUCCAUGCUAGUGCACACUGUCUAGUUUAGUAGUACAGGUUGCUGUACCUUUCUUGUAGCUUUCACAAUAACAAACUAUGAAACACGAAACUGUGAAACAAGAAACAAAACUGUGUUCCAUUACGUCCGGUAAAAUGACCAUGUAACACAAUCAAGAUAUUAUAUUUAUGAAUAAACAUCUACCUCUUAAAGGAUUUUUUUAUUUUUUAUUCACUGUCUUCAAGAUUUAUAGUCCCUCCUUUGCUCUUUUAUGGCAGAUAAGGUACAUUUCCGUUCUUUUUUGGGAAAAGGAAUUUUUUUAAUUUCUUUUUUAAAGAAAAAAAGAAACCAGAUCUCCCAGUAGCGUGGGUGUACUGUACCACGGAAACAAGACAAUCAGGCAAGUUUUGCUCCUCUGCGUCAAAUCUGCAAAACUCUGCCAAACCACAACAUAUAAAUCAUGCCAGUUGUGAAGUCUGAUAAAGGGAGAAAGUGAUUUGUACAAUGUAAAAAAAAAAAAGUAGAUAUUUAUGUAUUGUUUCCCUUUCACAGCACACCUGCUUCCUUCUCACCUGUACCCCAACCCCCCACCCCACCCCACCCCAACCCUCCCAUUUGUCUUGAUCAAGUUUAAACGUAUCCAUCACUGUACAUCCCCUGGGCCCAUGCUCUGAAUUUAUAAGACAGCCCAAUCAGUGACCCCCCCCCCCCAGUGACACUGUAAAUAAUGUGGAUGUAAUGAAGACUCAUUAAAAUGUUCUCAAUAAGGCUACGCUGCUGAGACACCAAGGUCUCUGCGCAAUAUGACUGCAAUGCCCUGCCUAGACAAUGAGCUGAAUUUCUGUAUGCCGCAGUUACCAUUUUACAACAUAUGUAAGUAUGUGUCUAACACACACAUGCACACACACGCACACACACACACACACAAUUGAUUAGGUUAGCACAGGGGUAGGCAACCCUGCUCCUGGGGGGCCAGAGAGGUUCCUGGUUUUUCCUCUAUCCAAACCCAUAGCCUCAUAAUUGUAUUGAUUAUCAGGUAUAAUUAAUACAGGGGACCAUGUGCUGGAGGUUCUCAGCAUGUCCCCACUCGCAUGGUGAAUAUUCAGACUCUGACUCUUAAUAAUCCAUCAAGCUCAUGAGGUCAAGCUCAGAUGAAAAAAAGAUAAAUAAACGUCACUGGCACUCCAGGACCAGCGUUUUAACUGCGGCCAGAAAAGCAUUUUUGCUGUGUGAGAGCAGGAGUCAUACACCUUAUGCUAGUGUCUAUCUUCGCACAGGCAAGAUCUCCCUGUAAACCAUCGGCACAAAAUAUUAAAAAUAGCAUGAUAACAUUUUAAAUGGAAAUGUACUUUUCGAUUAAAUGCAAUGUGAACAAGUGGUUCCUAUGCAGCACUUCCUUAUUUAUUGUACAAAACGUUCCCUUAAAUUCAGUGAUUAACAAACUCAUUGACUGUGCAUGAAAAAAAUAAAUUGGAUCAUCAUCAGAAUUCUUAUGACCUGGAACCUGUUAUUGUUUUGCUUCAUUGUGGUUUUUCUGUUGUUUUUUUUUUCUUUUUUCCUAUUUGUGAAAAUAAUUGCAUUAUUGUUGCAACACAAUCUGAGCAUGAUUCAGCUAAUCUCAAAAUGAACCCAACUAAUUCCUCUAUAAAGCCAUUGCGUUGACCAGGAAGCAUAGCUGCUUCAUUGUGACACAACUGGAUUAUGGCAAAUUAGAGUUUGUGUGUCUGUGCGCAAGUGCGUGCGUGUGUGUGCAUGCAUAUUUGUGCGAGUGUGUGUGUGUGCUUACAUGCACUUGUUUGUAUGUGCACGUGCACUGUAUAUGUAUGUAUGUGUGUGCAUGUUUGAUUUACUUAUUUACACACUGUUUUUAGUCUUGGAAAUUCACUUCUGUUAUGUACUCUAGUGGUUUUGAUUUACACUUGAUCAUUACUGAGCCAUCCAGAGAGCAGAAUAACUGUGGAAGAAAAUGUCUGUAUCCCUGAUGUUAUUAAAUAAUCCAACUUCCA